GUGAAUUAUUAAAGUCAUCCUUCCAUUGUUUUUUAUCUCAAAAAUUGAAAUUUUAUGGGUAUAAAAGUAUUCCAUUGAUUGCAAGAAGAAAAUGCAAGGAAAUUUAAAUCAAAUUGUCUUCUUUGUGUAAUUCAAUUUUCCUUUUUGGCGAAACUUCUUCUCUUCACGCCGACGAAGAAACCCAGCCAAAGCCAUCACUGCCACCGUAUCUCCGUCGUCCAGUGUACAUUACACUAGAUCUGGAAAGGCCGCCUUUUGCACCAGCCGCUGUGUGCGGUUACUCGGCGGAGAUCAAGUCAGCCGCUGGUGUCCAUUUUUCUUUUAGAUCCACAGCUCUCGGUUGAAAAAAAUAAACUCGGAUCUUUGAUGUCGGAUUUAAAGGGCCAUUAUAUGAAGCUUUAAUGUCGGUUUUAAUUUGACAUUAAAACAGGAUGUGAGCUAUUAACCAAUAGAGUGCGUGACAUUUUUACCGAUCCUUUGUUUUAAAACCAACAGUGGAGGUCGGGUGGCGGUCAUGGCUGUGGACGCCGUCGUGUUAGCCGCCGUGAUGAAGAGGAGAAGUGGGUUCCAGUCACCAAGCUAUUCGUGGCCGUGGAGAAGUGGCUUCCAGUCGUGCUGGUCGCCGUGACUAAGAGGAGACUAUGGACGCGGCUGCUAUUCGUGGCUUGAUUAUUUUGUCUAAGUUGUCGGUGAUCCCUGUUAGGAGGGGAUAUUGAGGUAACAAGAUUGGCAGUCGUGCGAGCCACGUAUAAUCCCUGUUAUUCCGGUGACCUCGCCGUCCGUAUGGUUCCUGCUCCUCGUGGUGCUGGUAUUGUUGCUGCUGGGGUUCCCAAGAAGGUGCUUCAAUUCGCUGGUAUUGAGAAUGUUUCCACUUCCUCAAAGGGGAUCCACUAAGGCGCUUGGAAACUUUGUGAAGGUGAUGUUCGUAAGAAGAUGCAAGUAGUGUAGUGGAGUCUACUUUCAAUAAUCUUGGUAGUCUGGACAUUCUUGUAGCAGCUUGGGAACUUUUUGGUAUCAACAGAAGAUUUGUCUACGAAAUGGAUUUCGAACAGGUUCUGUUCUAUUGCUACUUUCAAUAAUCAUGGUAGCCUUGCUUUUACUUGAUACAAGUCCAUAGUGAUCAAGCAAAAAAGUAAAAUAUAAAAAUAUACGUUGGAAGCAUUUUAUGGUUGUUGGAUGCUCCUGGCAUGUUCUUUAUCUUCAACCUUUUCUUUUUAACUUGGGAACUAUACUAAUUUAAAUGCACACUCACUCUAGAAAUUAAUGACUUAUUGAUUCCAUCUAUCAUAACUCAUCUAAUUUUUAUUGCACUAAAAGGAGAACAUAGAAAUAGAAAUAGAAAGUCUCGCAUGUUAUAAAUACGGUAUUAUUAAAGUUUAAAUCUCGGGCUUGAUGAUAUUGUUUAAGGGACUUUUACCCAUUUUGUCCAUCUUACUUCUUAUUUUCUACGAUACACAAAGUUGAAAGUGUAACAUACCUUGUGUUUGUCUUUCAAAGUAAAUCAAAUUAUCUGACUGGCAACCUUUUUCUAUUAGCUGUAAAUUCUUUUUUUUUUUUUGUUUUUGCAUUCUUGUGAGUGGUGACUGAUAAUGUUUGGACAUUACAAUGGCAUGAAAUUCUCUAGAACUCUUUUUCUUGAGAGAGAGAUGAAAAGAGAGUGAAAGAAAGGAAAAGGACCCGUGAAGUGAUUAUUAAUGGGUUGACAGAAAAGGACUUGUGAAGUGAUUAUUAAUGGGUUGACAGGGUGGUUGUUUGGAAUAAGUUGCAUUAUUGAGCUUGAUGUUAAAAUCUUUACACAAAUUAGAGAAUAAAAUGGGCCAUAACAAAAUCAAAAGAUAAUAAUGACACAUAGCUAUUAUAUGAAAAAAAAAAACAUUCUAUAUGAUCUGCCAAACUAAUACUCUCUCUAAACCCCUCAUUUAGAGUUCAUAUGUCACAAUAAAUUAAUGAUUAAUUAGUGUUUAUUGUUUAAUGAAUAAGUUUUUUUUUUCUUUUUUUCUUUUUGUGGUUUGGUAAAGGUAAAAAAUUAAGAGAAUGACAUGAAAAAAUGAAUAAGAAUAUUUUCUUGUUACCUACAGUUGGUUCGACUCCUUUUAUUUACACAUGGUAUUGUGACUUAAGAUUUGAGUUGUGAAGUUUUGAAUGUGUUAGUAUGUUGUCCAGUCAGAGUUAAGGUUCAAUUAGUAAAUUUUCGAUGAGUAUUGAGAUUUCGAUCCCUUUUGAGUUUAUUGUUGCUGUGGUUUUGGGUCUAAACUUCAAAAUUUUGUUGUGUUUAGGUUGUUUCAGACAUCCUUCUCAUGGACAAUACGUUGUCUCUUAGUUCAACACAUAACUUAUAUUUUCUAAGUAUUCCAUCAACAAACAUCCCUUUCAUGGUGUGAAAGACUGCAGUAGACAAAUAUCCAUUUUCUUUGAAAAACUCUAAAAAGUCCUUGCAUGAUUCUCAAUAUAACCUAAUACCGAGAAAGCAAAAUGGAUAGACACAGUUAUGAAUUGUGAAGUUCCUCUUAUAUCAAAGAAGAAGAAAUGUAUUGUGCAAUGUCAUUAGAGUGCAUGGUGGAUGUCGCAAUCAUGAAGAUGGGGAAGGAGGUUACUCAAUGAUCAGUUACAAGCCAAUAUAAAUUUUGGUUGGUGACCAUUGCUAGGGAGGGCUUUAUAUACCUAAAAGGACAAUUACCAAAUCAUUGAGGAAGAAAAUGACAGAUUGCAAGCUGCUCACGGUUUCACUUUGAGAUAUUUGAAAGAAAAAUGUUCAUGAUCCCAACCAGAGGUGUUGUGGUUUGGUCCUUUUCCCGAUCGUAAUGGUAAUAAACACGACGUAUGGGUAUGUUUGCUUGUGAGAAAGAAGGUUGUUUACCAUCAACUUCUCCACUAUCGUCGAAACUUGUGAAUACUCGGUUUAUUCCUAUAGUUGAUAGUGUCGUAACCUCCUUCUCCAUCUUCAUGAUUCGGACAUCCACCACGGACUCUAAUGAGGUUGCACAAUACCUUUCUUCUAUCCAUCAGUAUUGAGUUUUAUCGAGAAUCUGGCAAGGACUUUUGAGAGUUUAUCAAAUAGAAGGGAUAUUUGUCUACUGCAUUCUUUCACACCAAGAAAGGGGUGUUUGUUGAUAAAAUACUUAGAAAAUAUAGGUUAUGUGUUGAACUAAGAGACAACAAAAUUGAGAUUAUAAUAAAAUGAAGAGAAAAAGAAUUAUUUUGUAUUGUUUGGUUAGGUGUUUAAUACGAUGUGGAAAGACUAUUGGUUGAGUGAUAAUGAAAAUGAGGAUGAGGUGGUUUGAAGGUUUUUGGAAAA